ACACUCUAGUAAUAAGACGUUAUGUUAUGUGUCUAUCACAAUAUCAAAUCACAUUAUAUUCGUGACACGAUAAUUUAUAUAUUACAAAUUUUUUAUAUAUCAAUAUAAUAACAUUUACUUAUAUAAUGCAGCUAUAACAUCAAAAAAAUAAAUAUAAAAAAUCAAGAUGAAUUUAAAGCAAUCAUAAAACACUUUUAAACUAAAAUGCAAUAAAAACCUUUUAUGCUAAUCUCUUGUCUAUUCAAAUAAAUUUCGAUAUUUCAUAUUUAAUAAAUUCACAACUUUUGCUCAUCUGGCAUUUUCAAUUAGACAAGAUUUGGUAGGCUUUUUCGACAUGAAAUCAAAUUACUCAACGAGAAAGUCAAGCAAAUAAAACCCAAAGUUGACCAACACAAAAACCUUUUAACAUCAAUUAGUGCAAUUUCUUGGGCCAGAGCUCAGCCGUGGCCGUGAUUGCAACACCUACGCCGGGGUAGGCCAGAUAGACAGAUAUACAUAAACGUAACGUUAAAUUGCUUGGCUUGGAUGCCUGCAGUCGGCAGUCUGCUGGUAAUUACGGACAGCCAGUGCCUGUGCGCUGCACUGCACUGCACUCCAGUUCCACUUAACGAACAUGCUCCAAGUCUGGGCAAACAAUAGGCCUGGGCCUGGGCCAGGCCGGACAACAUGCUCGGAUCGUUGCCCGAACAGGGAUAAGUUGGACCUUGUUCUUGUUUAGAGUCGAACACAAUAAAACUGUACGAGUCGAAAGGUGCUCUGUGGCAUGCACUGUGGCAUGCUUGGCCAGGCAGCGCGAACAACUCUGUGGCAUGUUGUAGGUGUUGUUAUCAUAUUUGCAUGUUCCCACACUCAGUCUGCUCUAUCUCUGGCUCUGUCUCCCUCUCACUCUGCUGCCUUUGCCAAUAACUCAAUCAGUGGCGCAUUGCAGCUGCAUCGUUGAGCAUCAUUCAUCAUGUCCAGACCGUAGUCCGGUAGCCGGCAGACAGCUCACAAAAUAUGAAUCGCACUUGCCCCAAGUCAGUUCAGGAAUCAUCGCGAUUAUGUCACAGCAUCAGCAGGAGCAGGAGCUGGAGCAGGAGCAACGCAGCUUACAAUUUAUAAUUGUCAAACGGAAACUUGCCAGACAAAUGGAUAGAUAGUGCCAGCAUUGUGAGCAUAACAAGAGUCUAUAUACCCUUACAUACAUAUAGUAUGGAUCGGCUUCAGGAAUGCAGCUGCUUCCUGCGCGCUCCACACAAAUUGAAGUAACCAACUGGCUCGUAUUGAUUUAUGAACAUGGGAAAUUGACUUGUGAUAUAUUGGCGGGACCUUGAAAUCAAAUAUACACUGAGAGAAAUAUAAAUAAAUAAUUUAUAAGAGAUUAAAAUAUAUUUAUAAAUACUGGAAUUGUACUCUACUUUACCUAUUGAAUUGUAUUUAUAAUGUGUUACACUUAGAGAAAUAUUUAUGAAAAUAAAUUUAAUAAAUCAUUUAUAUUUAAA